UACGGAGGGUGCAAGCGUUAAUCGGAAUUACUGGGCGUAAAGCGUACGUAGGCGGCUUGUUAAGCAAGAUGUGAAAUCCCCGGGCUCAACCUGGGAAUGGCAUUUUGAACUGGCAGGCUCGAGUUCUGAAGAGGGUGGUAGAAUUUCCAGUGUAGCGGUGAAAUGCGUAGAUAUAGGAAGGAACACCAGUGGCGAAGGCGGCUACCUGGACCAACACUGACACUGAGGUGCGAAAGCGUGGGGAGCAAACAGG
rnacentral:rRNA from 1 species